GGACCUUCCUCUCAGAACCCCUAUCCAUCGUCGGUUUGGUGGGCCGUUACCCCGCCAACUGCCUAAUGGAACGCAUGCCUAUCUAUCAGCGAUGAAUCUUUAGCAAAUAUCCCCAUGCGGGGCCCCUGCUUCAUGCGGUAUUAGUCCGACUUUCGCCGGGUUAUCCCCCUCUGAUAGGCAAGUUGC
rnacentral:rRNA from 1 species